UGAGGAAUAUUGGUCAAUGGGCGAGAGCCUGAACCAGCCAAGUCGCGUGAAGGAAGACUGCCCGCAAGGGUUGUAAACUUCUUUUGUAUGGGAUUAAAGUCGUCUACGUGUAGGCGUUUGCAGUUACCAUACGAAUAAGCAUCGGCUAACUCCGUGCCAGCAGCCGCGGUAAUACGGAGGAUGCGAGCGUUAUCCGGAAUUAUUGGGUUUAAAGGGUGCGUAGGUUGCAAGGGAAGUCAGGGGUGAAAAGCUGUAGCUCAACUAUGGUCUUGCCUUGGAAACUCUCUAGCUAGAGUGUACUGGAGGAACGUGGAACGUGUGGUGUAGCGGUGAAAUGCAUAGAUAUCACACAGAACUCCGAUUGCACAGGCAGCAUAAUACAUUACAACUGACACUGAAGCACGAAAGCGUGGGUAUCAAACAGG
rnacentral:rRNA from 1 species